AUACACAUUUAAAGACUGUUCUGAUAGAUUAUUGUGAUUCAAAGUGGGGAAAAACCAGUCUUAAAUAACAUUCAUGUACAUUCAUACCCAAUAAAUUUGUAGGUUGUAGCAAAUUCAUUAACUUUUAUGUCUUGUUUUCUUUUAGAUUUAUGAAUGACAGCUAAAAGUUUUCAUGCUUAAUACCUGCAGUUAGCAUGGCAAAUCAUUGAUGCUAAGUGCUGACGAAAGGUAUCAAGCUCCAAAGGUUUCACCAUGAUCAAUCUGCAUUCUAUUCUUUUUAACCAGAUAGAUGGUUUCUCAGUUAAGUAUCGUUUGCGAUUUAUGUGUGAAAGGUACCAUGAAACCGGUCUUCGCAGGCAAUAGCAUACAACUUCCUGUCAGAAAUGAUGAACAGAACCUUUAUUUAAGAGCUCAUAAUUUUUAGGUUUGAAUCAAAUAUCAUAUUGCAUUUUAGAUUGACAAAAAACACUAGACUCGAUGAAUAUUUUUUCAUAUAGUAAGUGGGCUAACUAUGUAACACAGUGACAAUAAAUAAAACAGAGGGAUCUCUUGAGUAUUCUUCUACAGAGAUCUAUGUCAAUGUAAAAGAGAAUGCAAGUUGUACAGUACUUGAACAGACUGAACUUCAUUUUCUAAAUUUGUAGAGUGCUAUUCAAUCCUCCCUAUCAAAUAUGCCAAAAAUGCUUUGUAACUUUUGGCAGCCAAAAAGUCUGUUAUCUCCAAGGGCAUUGACAAUCCAAUGAAGCUUAAUUCUAACUUCCUUGAGCUUCAUGAUGGGGCGAACAGCCUUCCGAUUUGAAGUGUCAAAUGUUCAAGAGCAUUCUCCCAGGU
rnacentral:lncRNA from 1 species